AAGACUAUACUUUCAGGGAUCAUUUCUAUAGUUCGUUACUAGAGAAGUUUCGUUGAACGUGUGGAGCAUGCAAAACUGUGAGGAAGAGGUGCAGCAUUCUCUCCUGAGCGUGAGGCUGGCUUUUGGUGUUGCUUUUGUAAUUGCCAAUAACCAUUGACAAUCAUUCUUCUCUUCCGCUGGAAGAGUAAGAGGAAGGGAAUGUGGUCUGAGUGGU